UACGAAGGGGGCUAGCGUUGUUCGGAAUUACUGGGCGUAAAGCGCGCGCAGGCGGUUCUCCAAGUCAGUGGUGAAAGCCCGGAGCUCAACUCCGGAAUUGCCAUUGAAACUGUUGAACUUGAGGACGAGAGAGGUGAGUGGAAUUCCCAGUGUAGAGGUGAAAUUCGUAGAUAUUGGGAAGAACACCGGUGGCGAAGGCGGCUCACUGGCUCGUUUCUGACGCUCAGGCGCGACGGCGUGGGGAUCAAACAGG
rnacentral:rRNA from 1 species